CGCGUAGGCGGCAUGACAAGUCACUUGUGAAAUCUCCGGGCUUAACUCGGAACGGUCAAGUGAUACUGUCGCGCUAGAGUGCGGAAGGGGCAAUCAGAAUUCUUGGUGUAGCGGUGAAAUGCGUAGAUAUCAAGAGGAAUACCUGAGGUGAAGACGGGUUGCUAGGCCGACACUGACGCUGAAGCGCGAAGGCCAGGGAGCAAACG
rnacentral:rRNA from 1 species